UACGGAGGGUGCAAGCGUUGCUCGGAAUCACUGGGCGUAAAGGGCGUGUAGGCGGUCCGCUAAGUCUGAUGUGAAAGCCCGGGGCUCACCCCCGGAAGGGCAUUGGAAACUGGCGGACUCGAGUCUCGGAGAGGAAGGUGGAAUUCCUGGUGUAGCGGUGAAAUGCGUAGAUAUCAGGAGGAAUACCGGUGGCGAAGGCGGCCUUCUGGACGAUGACUGACGCUGAGACGCGAAAGCGUGGGGAGCAAACAGG
rnacentral:rRNA from 1 species